rnacentral:rRNA from 1 species
AGGGUUUGAUCAUGGCUCAGAACGUACGCUGGCGGCACGCCUAACACAUGCAAGUCGAACGAAGUAGCAAUACUUAGUGGCAGACGGGUGAGUAACAUGUAGGUAUCUACACUUUGGCCUGGAAUAACACGAGGAAACUUGUGCUAAUACCGGAUAAGUCUUUACGGAGAAAGCUUUAUGCACCAUUGGAUGAGCCUGCACUUGAUUAGUUUGUUGGUAGGGUAACGGCCUACCAAGACUUUGAUCAAUAGCUGAUUUGAGAGGAUGAUCAGCCACAUUGGGACUGAGACACGGCCCAAACUCCUACGGGAGGCAGCAGUGGGGAAUCUUGCACAAUGGAGGAAACUCUGAUGCAGCGAUGCCGCGUGAGUGAAGAAGGCCCUUGGGUUGUAAAGCUCUUUCGUCGGGGAAGAAAAUGACUGUACCCGAAUAAGAAGGUCCGGCUAACUUCGUGCCAGCAGCCGCGGUAAUACGAAGGGACCUAGCGUAGUUCGGAAUUACUGGGCUUAAAGAGUUCGUAGGUGGUUGAAAAAGUUGGUGGUGAAAUCCCAGAGCUUAACUCUGGAACUGCCAUCAAAACUUUUCAGCUAGAGUUUGAUAGAGGAAAGCAGAAUUUCUAGUGUAGAGGUGAAAUUCGUAGAUAUUAGAAAGAAUACCAAUUGCGAAGGCAGCUUUCUGGAUCAUUACUGACACUGAGGAACGAAAGCAUGGGUAGCGAAGAGGAUUAGAUACCCUCGUAGUCCAUGCCGUAAACGAUGUGUGUUAGACGUUGGAAAUUUAUUUUCAGUGUCGCAGCGAAAGCGAUAAACACACCGCCUGGGGAGUACGACCGCAAGGUUAAAACUCAAAUGAAUUGACGGGGACCCGCACAAGUAGUGGAGCAUGUGGUUUAAUUCGAAGAUACGCGCAGAACCUUACCAACACUUGACAUGUUCGUCGCGACUUUAAGAGAUUAAAGUUUUCGGUUCGGCCGGACGAAACACAGGUGCUGCAUGGCUGUCGUCAGCUCGUGUCGUGAGAUGUUGGGUUAAGUCCCGCAACGAGCGCAACCCUCACUUUUAGUUGCCAUCAUUAAGUUGGGCACUCUGAAAGAACUGCCAGUGAUAAGCUGGAGGAAGGUGGGGAUGACGUCAAGUCCUCAUGGCCCUUACGUGUUGGGCUACACACGUGCUACAAUGGUAUCUACAACAGGAAGCAAAACGGCGACGUUAAGCAAAUCCUUAAAAGAUACCUCAGUUCGGAUUGCACUCUGCAACUCGAGUGCAUGAAGCUGGAAUUACUAGUAAUCGUGGAUCAGCGUGCCACGGUGAAUGCGUUCCCGGGUCUUGUACACACCGCCCGUCACACCAUGGGAGUUGGUUCUACCUUAAGGCAAGGUUUAAAAUCCUUGACCACGGUAUAGUCAGCGACUGGGGUGAAGUCGUAACAAGGUAACCGUA